UGCAGUCGAACGAGCGAGAGGAGGUUUACUUUCUCAAGCGAGUGGCGAACGGGUGAGUAACGCGUGAGGAACCUGCCUCAAAGAGGGGGACAACAGUUGGAAACGACUGCUAAUACCGCAUAAGCCCACGACCCGGCAUCGGGUAGAGGGAAAAGGAGCAAUCCGCUUUGAGAUGGCCUCGCGUCCGAUUAGCUGGUUGGUGAGGUAACGGCCCACCAAGGCGACGAUCGGUAGCCGGACUGAGAGGUUGAACGGCCACAUUGGGACUGAGACACGGCCCAGACUCCUACGGGAGGCAGCAGUGGGGAAUAUUGCACAAUGGGGGAAACCCUGAUGCAGCGACGCCGCGUGGAGGAAGAAGGUCUUCGGAUUGUAAACUCCUGUUGUUGAGGAAGAUAAUGACGGUACUCAACAAGGAAGUGACGGCUAACUACGUGCCAGCAGCCGCGGUAAAACGUAGGUCACAAGCGUUGUCCGGAAUUACUGGGUGUAAAGGGAGCGCAGGCGGGAAGACAAGUUGGAAGUGAAAUCCAUGGGCUCAACCCAUGAACUGCUUUCAAAACUGUUUUUCUUGAGUAGUGCAGAGGUAGGCGGAAUUCCCGGUGUAGCGGUGGAAUGCGUAGAUAUCGGGAGGAACACCAGUGGCGAAGGCGGCCUACUGGGCACCAACUGACGCUGAGGCUCGAAAGUGUGGGUAGCAAACAGGAUUAGAUACCCUGGUAGUCCACACUGUAAACGAUGAUUACUAGGUGUUGGAGGAUUGACCCCUUCAGUGCCGCAGUUAACACAAUAAGUAAUCCACCUGGGGAGUACGACCGCAAGGUUGAAACUCAAAGGAAUUGACGGGGGCCCGCACAAGCAGUGGAGUAUGUGGUUUAAUUCGACGCAACGCGAAGAACCUUACCAAGUCUUGACAUCCUGCGACGAUGCUGGAAA
rnacentral:rRNA from 1 species